rnacentral:rRNA from 1 species
UAAUACGGAGGGUGCGAGCGUUAAUCGGAAUUACUGGGCGUAAAGCGUGCGUAGGCGGUUGGGUAAGUCAGAUGUGAAAGCCCUGGGCUCAACCUGGGAACUGCAUUUGAUACUGUCCGGCUAGAGUCUGGUAGAGGGAAGUGGAAUUCCGGGUGUAGCGGUGAAAUGCGUAGAUAUCCGGAGGAACACCAGUGGCGAAGGCGACUUCCUGGACCAAGACUGACGCUGAGGUACGAAAGCGUGGGGAGCAAACAGGAUUAGAUACCCUGGUAGUCCACGCCGUAAACGAUGGGUACUAGACGUUGGGAAGUUUUAUCUUCUUUGUGUCGCAGUUAACGCAAUAAGUACCCCGCCUGGGGAGUACGGUCGCAAGAUUA